GCAACAUGGUAUCGCGUUAGCUGUGGCCGAGCUCAUCUCCUCCUUGUUUCUUCCCGUUCUUGUGCCCGCUUCGCUGAGUAGCAUCCAAGAUGAAUUCCGUCGGAUUAGGUGGUCCGGCAGAGGCGCUGUUAGGAAUGAGAGUCCGUGACACAGGAGGGAGGGGCCGGGGGAGGCCCUCACAUGGUGCAUGUUUUGUUGUUGCAUGGCCUGACCAUUGACAGUCACAUGACCUCUUUCUGGGUAAUUCCAAGGAGGAAAAUGCUCUCGGGCACCCAACUUUAUUCCAUGGAUAACACCAAGAAUCUUUUGGUACCGAAUUGCACGAGGAAAACAAAUGGAAAGUUUCAGAAAGGGGGAAGAAGUUGGGCAAAGACGGCAAGCAAACGGAAGGAAGAAGAGAAAGGAAGAGUUUUUACACCUCGACCUCUUCUUGUCUUGCUCUCAUCGAAUCAUCACCCUCAACGAAACACAACAUGUGAGUUUUAUCUUUUUGAGUUCAUAUUUCCGAAUCUAACGUAUUGUAUUGACAGGAUUGUGGGAGAGUCGUGUGUAGGUCUAUUGAGACACUGAACCCGUGACCGCAGCAUGUUGGGAGCCAUCUGAAACUUACUGUAAAGUCUAUUAAUUUGAUGCAUUGCAUAAAAGAAUAAUAUAGCCUUUGUAACCUUGUUGAAGAUGACAGAAUAAAAAACACUUUUAAAGAAGAGCUAAUCGAAGAAAUCGAC